AGUGGGGGAUAUUGCACAAUGGAGGAAACUCUGAUGCAGCGACGCCGCGUGAGUGAAGAAGGCCUUCGGGUCGUAAAGCUCUGUCCUAGGGGAAGAUAAUGACGGUACCCUAGGAGGAAGCCCCGGCUAACUACGUGCCAGCAGCCGCGGUAAUACGUAGGGGGCGAGCGUUGUCCGGAAUUACUGGGCGUAAAGAGUUCGUAGGGGUCUGAUAAGUCAGAUGUGAAAGGCGUAGGCUUAACCUAUGUAAGCAUAUGAAACUGUCAGACUUGAGGUAAGGAGAGGAAAGUGGAAUUCCUAGUGUAGCGGUGAAAUGCGUAGAUAUUAGGAGGAAUACCAGUGGCGAAGGCGACUUUCUGGACUUAAACUGACGCUGAGGAACGAAAGCGUGGGGAGCAAACAGGAUUAGAUACCCUGGUAGUCCACGCCGUAAACCGAUGAGUGCCUAGGUGUCGGGUAGAAAUAUUCGGUGCCGCAGCUAACGCAAUAAGCACUCCGCCUGGGGAGUACGUACGCCAAGUAUGAAACUCAAAGGAAUUGACGGGGACCCCCGCACAAGCAGCGGAGCAUGUGGUUUAAUUCGAAGCAACGCGAAGAACCUUACCAGGGCUUGACAUGCCCCUGACAUCACUAGAGAUAGUGAGUUAUCCUUUCGGGGAUACAGGGGACACAGGUGGUGCAUGGUUGUCGUCAGCUCGUGUCGUGAGAUGUUGGGUUAAGUCCCGCAACGAGCGCAACCCUUGUAUUUAGUUGCCAGCAUUAAGUUGGGCACUCUAGAUAGACUGCCGUGGACAACACGGAGGAAGGUGGGGAUGACGUCAAAUCAUCAUGCCCUUUAUGUCCUGGGCUACACACGUGCUACAAUGGUCGGUACAACGAGCAGCAAGCUAGCGAUAGCAAGCGAAUCUCUAAAAGCCGAUCCCAGUUCGGAUUGUAGGCUGCAACUCGCCUACAUGAAGUCGGAGUUGCUAGUAAUCGCGAAUCAGCAUGUCGCGGUGAAUGCGUUCCCGGGUCUUGUACACACCGCCCGUCACACCAUGGGAGUUGUCAAUACCCGAAGCCAGUGAGCUAACCAGAAAUGGAGGCAGCUGUCGAAGGUAGGGGCAAUGACUGGGGUG
rnacentral:rRNA from 1 species